UUAAUAGGGUUUUCAGGGACAAUAGAAU
rnacentral:piRNA from 1 species